GUAACGUAGAUCUUUAUUCAUCUUUCAAACAUGGCAGCAAGCAUCAAGUGUGUGUAUUUUCUCAUUGCAAUUCUAUGCAUCGUUUCUGUUUUGACUCCAGGAGAAGCAUAUUAUUAUACAUACUGCGCUGAAAAAGGGCCAUGUCCAAAUAACGAUAAAGUUUGUAGUUAUAUUUGUAUAAAUAAAUACGAGUUUCCUAGGGGUGGCUUUUGUAGUAAAAGUAAGGGUUUGUGUUGUUGUAGGGGAGGAUAUUGAUUCUACUUUCUCAAAGUGUUGGCACAUAUAUAUGAUUAUCAUAUGUUUAAAUAAAUUUUUAGUGCAUGUUUGGUUUCAUAUUUGCACUCUACAAA